UGUUUUUUUACUAAGAAAUAAAUUUUGCUCACUGUUUUUCAAGAGCCGAUUUUUGCUAAGGUAGGGCAAUAAUUAGCUUAUCAAUUGUAAGCAAGUAUGAAAGAAUAAAUCUUUAAUUUUUUUUAGAAGAAAAACAAAUAAAAAUUAAAAAAUUAUCAAAAUAAAUUUUUAUUUGGAAAGACGAGAAGACCCCAGAAAUUUCACUAACAAAGUUUAUUUGGGGAAAAUUUGUUUAAAUUAUCAAAAAAUAAAAAAAAAAAAUAACCUCAAUACCAAUAAAUUACUCUGGGGAUAACAGAACAAUUUUUUGAAAGAGAUCUUAUCUAUCAAAAAGAUUGUCACCUCGAUGUUGGAUCCUAAAAUCUAAAAGUUGAAGAAAACUUAACAGAAUAAACUGUUCGUUUUUUGAAUUUAA
rnacentral:rRNA from 1 species